rnacentral:rRNA from 1 species
AUUGAACGCUGGCGGCAGGCCUAACACAUGCAAGUCGAACGGUAACAGGAAGCAGCUUGCUGCUUCGCUGACGAGUGGCGGACGGGUGAGUAAUGUCUGGGAAACUGCCUGAUGGAGGGGGAUAACUACUGGAAACGGUAGCUAAUACCGCAUAACGUCGCAAGACCAAAGGGGGGGGACCUUCGGGCCUCUUGCCAUCGGAUGUGCCCAGAUGGGAUUAGCUUGUUGGUGGGGUAACGGCUCACCAAGGCGACGAUCCCUAGCUGGUCUGAGAGGAUGACCAGCCACACUGGAACUGAGACACGGUCCAGACUCCUACGGGAGGCAGCAGUGGGGAAUAUUGCACAAUGGGCGCAAGCCUGAUGCAGCCAUGCCGCGUGUAUGAAGAAGGCCUUCGGGUUGUAAAGUACUUUCAGCGGGGAGGAAGGGAGUAAAGUUAAUACCUUUGCUCAUUGACGUUACCCGCAGAAGAAGCACCGGCUAACUCCGUGCCAGCAGCCGCGGUAAUACGGAGGGUGCAAGCGUUAAUCGGAAUUACUGGGCGUAAAGCGCACGCAGGCGGUUUGUUAAGUCAGAUGUGAAAUCCCCGGGCUCAACCUGGGAACUGCAUCUGAUACUGGCAAGCUUGAGUCUCGUAGAGGGGGGUAGAAUUCCAGGUGUGGCGGUGAAAUGCGUAGAGAUCUGGAGGAAUACCGGUGGCGAAGGCGGCCCCCUGGACGAAGACUGACGCUCAGGU